AACAGGAUUAGAUACCCUGGUAGUCCACGCCGUAAACGAUGUCGACUUGGAGGUUGUGCCCUUGAGGCGUGGCUUCCGGAGCUAACGCGUUAAGUCGACCGCCUGGGGAGUACGCCCGCAAGGUUAAAACUCAAAUGAAUUGACGGGGGCCCGCACAAGCGGUGGAGCAUGUGGUUUAAUUCGAUGCAACGCGAAGAACCUUACCUGGUCUUGACAUCCACGGAAGUUUUCAGAGAUGAGAAUGUGCCUUCGGGAACCGUGAGACAGGUGCUGCAUGGCUGUCGUCAGCUCGUGUUGUGAAAUGUUGGGUUAAGUCCCGCAACGAGCGCAACCCUUAUCCUUUGUUGCCAGCGGUCCGGCCGGGAACUCAAAGGAGACUGCCAGUGAUAAACUGGAGGAAGGUGGGGAUGACGUCAAGUCAUCAUGGCCCUUACGACCAGGGCUACACACGUGCUACAAUGGCGCAUACAAAGAGAAGCGACCUCGCGAGAGCAAGCGGACCUCAUAAAGUGCGUCGUAGUCCGGAUUGGAGUCUGCAACUCGACCCCAUGAAGUCGGAAUCGCUAGUAAUCGUGGAUCAGAAUGCCACGGUGAAUACGUUCCCGGGCCUUGUACACACCGCCCGUCACACCAUGGGAGUGGGUUGCAAAAGAAGUAGGUAGCUUAACCUUCGGGAGGGCGCUUACCACUUUGUGAUUCAUGACUGGGGUGAAGUCGUAACAAGGUAACC
rnacentral:rRNA from 1 species